ACUCCUACGGGAGGCAGCAGUGGGGAAUUUUACGCAAUGGGGGAAACCCUGACGUAGCGACACCGCGUGAGCGAAGAAGCCCUUUGGGGUGUAAAGCUCUGUCAGCUGGAACGAAAACAAUGACGGUACCAGCAGAGGAAGCAUCGGCUAACUACGUGCCAGCAGCCGCGGUAAGACGUAGGAUGCGAGCGUUGUCCGGAUUUAUUGGGCGUAAAGAGUUCGUAGGUGGUUUGUUAAGUUUGGUGUUAAAGAUCGGGGCUCAACCCUGGGACUGCACUGAAUACUGGCAGACUCGAGUGUGGUAGAGGCUAGUGGAAUGCCCAGUGUAGCGGUGAAAUGCGUAGAUAUUGGGAAGAACACCGGUGGCGUAGGCGACUAGCUGGGCCAUAACUGACGCUGAGGAACGAAAGCCAGGGGAGCGAAUGGGAUUAGAUACCCUAGUAGUCCCAUGAU
rnacentral:rRNA from 1 species